rnacentral:lncRNA from 1 species
GACACACAGGGACUGAUGUCCAGGGUAAUGAAUUUACACAAGUCUUACAGAAUGUGUGUUCGUGUUGAUAAACUCCUUCCUAAUAUUGAGUUGCAACCCCUUUUGCCCUGAGAAUAGCCUCAAUUUGUUGGGGCAUGGACUCUACAAGGUGUUGAAAGCAUUCCACAGGGAUGCUGGCCCAUGUUGAUUCCAAUGCUUGCAACAGUUGGCUGGAUGGCCUUUGGGUGGUGGACCACUCUUGAUACACACGGGAAACUGUUGAGCAUGAAAAAUCCAGCAGCGUUGCAGUUCUUGACACACUCAAACCUGUGCCCUUGACACCUAUUAUAGCCCGUUCAAAGUCACUUAAAUCUUUUGUCUUGCCCAUUCACCUUCUGAAUGGCACUCAUACAGUCCAUCUCUCAAGGCUUAAAAAUCCUUCUUUAAUCUAUUUCUUACAAUUCAUCUACACUGAUGUGAAGUGACAAUAAGGCAUGAUACUGUAGCUUUCACCUGGUCAGUCUGUCAUGGAAAGAGCAGGUGUUCAUGUUUUGUACACUCAGUGUAUCUAAUAGAUGUGUAUAUGUAAGUGCAAUUUGAAAAAUGAUCAACAAAGCAGAGACCAGACACGAUAUGCUUGUAUAGCUAACAUGAAUGAGGCCAAGCUUAGGGACGACACACUUGACCAAAGUGGAAGCAGCUCUUCAUCCAUUUGCAAUCAUAAAGAGCCUCUGUACUAUGGGACAGGAAAACAUGCAUUGGGUUUUGGGGUGUUUUGAUGGUGAUCUUGAUAAUAAAAUGGCAGCAGAUUGCUAGGAGGGUUCACUAGGGUGGGGGGGGUUAGUACACAUUUUGGAGGGAGCACUUAUUUACUGCUAAAAACCCAGGGUAGUGCAUGGCGCUACCGGGGCAUUGUGAUUGGGAAAGUGGGCCGAUCUGCCCUGGGCCUGGAGUGCGGGAGAGAAGAGUCCAGCAGGAGGAGAGGCCUAUUCAGACCAACCACACUGGCCCUGGGGUGAGCCAAGGGCAGGCAGACACAGGCAGACACACGCUUACUUACAUUAGGCUUUAGUGCAGCACAGCUUGCUCUAUAGUAUACUAAAAGUCUGACACACAAGCAAACACUAUCAAUGGCAAUUGUUGCCAUAAUGGUUAAGAAUGAAUAGUUCACUUACUGUGGGGUAUAUUUUUGGCAAUUAUUGUGGCUUAUUCCCACCAAAAAACAUGUUCAAAAUGUGUUUUUUCUGUAUUUGUUUUGUUGAAAAUGUGAAACAUUUAGGUGACUAAUUUAUUAAAUGGCAAUCAUGUUAAAGAGAACUAGGUACUGUACGCUGGAGUAAUACAGUCAGUAUUACAGGUGUGUUUUAAAAUGUUCACUGUAAUUCUGAGUUAAUUAUUGAUCAGCAGUUCUUUCCAUGGAGUCAUGGGGAUCAGGGUUUGCUAUAAAAAAUAAAAAAAGUUUGCUUGCUCACUCAAACUCUAGGCCCGAUUACUAAAACAUUCAAAUGUACAAAAAAGUAUCUGAAAUGGAGCACACAACAACUGUCAUUUUAUAUAGUUUAAUAACCAGUGGUGUAAAAAUACCCCAAAACACUACUUAAGUAGUACUUUAAAGUAUCUGUACUUUACUAUUUAUAUUUUUGACAACUAAUGUACUUUCUACUCCAUACAUGUUCCCUGGCACCCAAAAGUACUCGUUACAUUUUGGAUGCUUAGCAGGACAGGAAAAUGGUCCAGUUCACAUACUUCAAGAGAACAUCCCUUUCCAUCUACUGCCUCUGGUCUCUGGCGGACUCACUAAACACACAUGCUUUGUUUGUAAAUGAUGUCUGAGUGUUGUAGUGUGCCCCUGGCUCUCUGUAAAUAAAAAAACAAGCUGUGCCGUUUGGUUUACUUAAUAUAA